rnacentral:rRNA from 1 species
AACGAACGCUGGCGGCAUGCCUAAUACAUGCAAGUCGAACGAGAUCUUCGGAUCUAGUGGCGCACGGGUGCGUAACGCGUGGGAAUCUGCCCUUGGGUUCGGAAUAACUUCUGGAAACGGAAGCUAAUACCGGAUGAUGACGUAAGUCCAAAGAUUUAUCGCCCAAGGAUGAGCCCGCGUAGGAUUAGGUAGUUGGUGAGGUAAAGGCUCACCAAGCCGACGAUCCUUAGCUGGUCUGAGAGGAUGAUCAGCCACACUGAGACUGAGACACGGCCCAGACUCCUACGGGAUGCAGCAGUAGGGAAUAUUGGAAAAUGGGCGAAAGCCUGAUGCACUAAUGCCGCGUGAGUGAUGAAGGCCUUAGAGUAGUAAAGCUCUUUUACCCGGGAUGAUAAUGACAGUACCGAGAGAAUAAGCUCCGGCUAACUCCGUG